AGUAUUAGUGGGUCUUUUGAGUAUUAGGGUUUGGGCCAUAAUAGGGCCGUAUUAUUCUUCUUUGGGCUGUAAUAAGUGAUUAGCCAAGUCAUUAGUCGUUCUGUUAGUUGGAUUUCAGAUCUAUAAAUACUGUAACUGGUUGAUUGAGAGGGGAUAGAAAAACAGAAAUCGAAAUCCAACUCACCGGUGUCCUUGGCUUCGUUCUUUUCACCGGUCUGCUACCGACUCACGCCCGGCGAACUCUAGCCGCGGCCACGGGUCAUCACAAGUGGUAUCAGAGCCGUUGAUCCUCGGAGGGUGGGCAUCACGGCGCCUUCCACGAAGCCAUCCGUUCAGACGCGGCUGAUCCUGGAAGCAAUGGCGGGGACCGAGCAAAAAGGGGAGGAGCGCUGGGAGCGGAUGAUGCUGGCGGUGGAACGGUUGACUGGGAAGAUGGAAGCGAUGGAGAUCGGGCAGAAGAAGGCAGAGGAAGAUCGAGCACUGUUGGCUCGACACAUGGAGGAGAACGAGAGAACUAUUGCGCAGCUGCGAUUGGAUUUACAAGCGAGGGAGCAGGAAGGUAAUGACACAAACUCUGAGCGCGAGCUGCGUGUUCCUCGAGGGGAUGAUCGGGGUGGAGGAAUGGAGCGUGGAAGAGAUCGUAGAGAGCAGUGGGGUGGAGGAAGAGAGAAUGGGACAUGCCCAUUUCCGAAGUGGACAUUUCCCAAGUUUCAGGGCAGUAAUCCGGGAGUCUGGUUUGAUCGGUGUGUUGAUUAUUUCACUGUUUACCAGGUGCCCGAGUGGUUGUGGGCGAGUUCAGCUUCUAUGCACAUGGAGGGGAAUGCGUCGAAGUGGUUGCAAGUGUAUAAGCUGAAACACGGAUUGGGUGAUUGGGGGCAGUUUACACAAGCAGUUAGGGAGCAGUUUGGAGUGGAUGAAUAUCCUCAAGCUAUGAGAGAUUUGGUGAAUGUGACUCAGCAGCAAGGAGUGGAGGAGUACUCUCAAGCUUUUGAUGAUAUUAGGUAUGUUGCUACCUUGCAUAAUCCUGAGUUAGGUGAGACCCUGUUUGUGACACACUACAUUAAAGGGUUGAAACCUGAAAUUCAGAAUCAAGUCAUGGCUCGGAUGCCUAAGACAGUGGAUAAGGCGAAGAGGUUGGCCAAGGUGUAUCAGGAGAUUGCAGAGAAGAAUAGAGUUAGAAACCAAAAGGGACAAGUUCUUAAAACUCAGGUUGCAGGAGUAAGGGGGGAGAAUAGGGCAGGAAUAUUGUACCCUGAGUUGAGCAAGGAAAGACAGUUGAGAGAAUAUAGAAGAGCGAAUGGGUUGUGUUUUAUUUGUGGAGAUAAAUUUGAGCCAGGCCAUCAAGCAAAAUGUCCCAAGAGGGUGGUAACUCAACUGCAUAAUCUGACCGUGGAAGAUAUGGGCCUGGUUUUGACUGAUGAGGUAUUGCAGAAGUUGGAAGAUGAGGAGAAGUGUGUGGAGGAGUUACAUCAGUUGUCCUGGAAUGCUAUUAGUGGCACGGAAUGUGAUGGAUGUAUGAGGGUCCAAGCUCUGGUUCAGGAUCAGAUGUUGGUCAUGCUCAUUGAUUCUGGUAGCUCUGCAACUUUUAUCAGCCAGAGAAUUGUAGCAAAAUUGGGGUUGAUCACUGAAGAUUGUUCCACUGUGCGGGUUAAGGUGGCAAAUGGAGCAGCUAUGAUCAGUGACAAAAGAGUUAAGGAAGUAGUGUGGAGUUCUGGGGGGCACCUGUACAACACUGCUAUGAGGGUGUUAGAUUUGGAAGCAUAUGAUGUGAUCCUGGGGUAUGAUUGGCUGAAGGCUCACAGUCCUAUGGAGUGUGACUGGAAUAACAAGGUAUUAACCUUUACUGAUCAAGGGAAGACGGUCAGGUUACAGGGUGGUGCUAGAGAAGUGCAGGAAGUGCGACAAGUAUCUGUGUUGCAGCUGGAGAAAUGGAUGAAGGGAGAGGAAGUCUGGGUAUUUGUGCUUUUAGAGCAGGUUUCAGAAGACACAAUUGGGACAAAUGAUGCAGUUCUACAGGAGAUUUUAAAGGAAUUCGAAGAUGUUUUUGCUGUGCCUUCGAAAUUGCCUCCAAUCAGACCUUAUGAUCAUCACAUUCCUCUGUUGCCAGGGUCUAUUCCAGUAAACUCAAGGCCUUAUCGAUAUUCUCCAGCUCACAAAACUGAGAUUGAAAAGCAAAUUGCUGAACUGCUAGCAGCAGGGUUGAUAGUCCCUAGUGUCAGUCCGUUUGCUUCUCCAGUUUUACUUGUGCAAAAAAAAGAUGGCAGCUGGAGGUUCUGUAUAGAUUACAGGAAGUUAAAUGGAAUGACUAUAAAGAACAGGUUUCCUAUGCCUAUGGUGGAUGAGAUCCUGGAUGAAUUAGCUGGUGCACAGUAUUUUACCAGUCUUGACAUGACAGCAGGAUAUCAUCAAAUUCGAAUGGGAACUGAGGAUGAAUACAAGACUGCUUUUAAAACCCAUCAUGGCCAUUAUCAGUUUCGAGUAAUGCCUUUUGGUCUCACUAAUGCACCAGCUAGUUUCCAGUGUGCCAUGAACUCAGUGUUGGAGCCUUUUCUCAGAAAAUUUGUUAUGGUUUUCUUGGAUGAUAUUCUCAUUUACAGCCCUAGUUUGGAAGUGCAUUAUCAACAUAUUCGGAUGGUGUUGGCCAAGCUGAGAGAGCACCAGUUUUUCUUAAAGAUGAAGAAAUGCUCCUUUGUGAAGCAUGAACUCAAAUAUUUGGGUCAUGUGAUUUCAAGAGAUGGGGUGGCUACAGAUUCUAGUAAAACUGAGGCUAUGUUGUCCUGGCCACAACCUAAGAAUGUGACGGAAUUGAGGGGAUUCUUAGGUUUAACAGGCUAUUACAGGAAAUUUGUGAAAGAUUAUGGUAUUAUUGCUCGACCUCUUACUAAGCUGUUGCAGAAACAACAGGUGUUUCAGUGGUCUGAAGAUGCUCAGGUUGCUUUUCAUAAGUUGAAACAGGCUAUGGCUUCAACACCGGUUCUUGCUCUGCCCAGGUUUGAUCUGCCUUUUACAGUCGAGACAGAUGCGUCAGAUGUGGGUCUUGGAGCGGUGUUGAUGCAACAGGGCAGACCCAUUGCCUUUCUUAGUAAAGCUCUGGGAGAAAAGAACAAACAUCUUUCUAUAUAUGAGAAGGAGUUUUUGGCUUUGAUUAUGGCUGUAGAUAAGUGGAGGCAAUAUUUGCAGAGGGGUGCAUUUGUGAUUAAGACAGAUCACAAAUCUUUGACAUUCUUGGGAGACCAGCAAUUGCAGUCAGAUCUUCAAAAGAAGGCUAUGACCAAGUUAAUGGGAUUGCAAUUUCAGAUUGUAUAUAAAAAGGGGGCAGAGAAUGUCGUUGCUGAUGCAUUGUCCAGGAGGAGUUCAGUAUUGGACUUGGCUGCCAUUUCUGAAGUGCAACCAGUUUGGGUACAGGAGGUGCUGAAUUCUUAUGCUACUGAUGCUGAAGCUCAACAGUUGAUAGCUCAAUUGUUGGUGCGCAGUCCUGAUGAGAAUGGGUUUUCAUUGUAUCAAGGCAUUAUUCGUAAGGCAGGCAGGAUUUGGAUUGGUGCUAAUUCUGCUCUGAGAACCAAGUUGGUGGCAGCUUUGCAUGAUAGUGCCCUUGGUGGUCAUUCUGGUACUCAGGCAACUUAUCAACGGGUAAAGAAAGUGUUUUAUUGGAGGGGAUUAAAGGCAGAUGUGGUCCAGUUUGUGCAACAGUGUGCAAUUUGUCAAAAGGCCAAGAGUGAAAGAACUCAUCCAGCUGGGUUAUUACAACCUUUGCCGGUACCACAGGGUGUGUGGGAAGAUGUGACUAUGGAUUUCAUUGAAGGUUUGCCUAAGUCGGAAGGGUUUGAUACAAUAUUAGUGGUGGUGGACAGAUUCUCGAAAUAUAGCCAUUUCUUUCCUUUGAAACAUCCUUUUACUGCAAAGGGUGUUGCACAAGUCUUUCUGGACAAUGUGGUUAAGCUACAUGGCGUACCCAAAUCGCUGGUAUCUGACAGGGAUAAAGUGUUCACUAGCAGUUUUUGGAAGAACCUGUUUCAGUUGAUGGAGGUCAAGCUGUUGAUGUCUACAGCCUAUCACCCACAGACUGAUGGCCAAAGUGAACGUGUGAACCAAUGCUUGGAGAUGUAUCUCCGGUGUGCUGUCAACUCUCAGCCCACCAAAUGGAAGAGUUGGUUGGCUCUCGCGGAGUAUUGGUACAAUACCACUUAUCAUGUUGUUUUGGGUUGUACACCAUUCAGGGUGUUAUAUGGUUAUGAUGCUCCUAUGCUAGCCCUCCCUAGGCUCAUCAAUAUUGAGGACCCGGAUGUCACUACGUGGGUCAAGGAAAGGAGUGCUUUUUCUGCCAUGUUGAAGGAACAGUUGGCUAGAGCACAGUUGCGUAUGAAGCAAUAUGCUGAUAAGGGCAGAACACCAAGAGAGUUUCAAGUAGGAGAAUUGGUGCUGUUAAAACUUCAACCAUAUGCACAGAAGACAGUGGUGAAUCGGCCUUGUCCUAAAUUGUCUUUUAAGUUUUUUGGGCCUUACAAGAUUAUAGCUCGAGUUGGGGCAGUGGCAUAUAAGCUGGAAUUGCCACCCGAUGCUCAGGUGCAUCCAGUGUUUCAUGUGUCUCAGCUUAAGCCGUUUCACCCGUGUUAUUCUCCAGUUUACACUGAACUUCCUCUCUUGGUUGAUCUGUCCCAAGGGGAUGUUGAGCCUGACCAAAUUCUGAAUCGAAGGAUGGUACGUAAAGGAAACAAUGCUAUUGUCCAGGUGCUGGUCAAAUGGACAGGUCUUCCAGCCGAUGCGGCUACCUGGGAAGACUAUGAAGUGGUGAAGGCAAGGUUUCCUACAGCGCACGCUUGGGGACAAGCGUCUUUUGACGCUGGGGGAGAUGUGAUGACCCAAGGUGGCGGUGUUUAGGCACAGAUGUAUUCAACGGUUUGCCGCGUUGCAACAGUGCUUCAAACCAGAUAUACAGCUCCAGGAUUCUGGCAUGUUGGUCUGAACCUCUUCGUUGGAAUAGAGAAGCUGGUAAGUAAUCCUGCUGAAAAGGAGCACCUGAAGACCUGCAUUUCGAGGGCCCGUGAGCAUCUUGAUGAAAAGGAAAAUGAGGAUUCUGUGCCAAGCAACAGAGAAGCAGACACCAGAUUUCUUUUUGAAGGGCACCUUACUGUGGGACAGGAACCUCCACCUCCAGCAUGGCUUGUUGCCCAGAAUUUAACGAGGGAAUUGAGCAUACUAACUGAAUCCUCUGGUGAUCAAGAUGGGAGCAACAACAGAACAGUGCCUAGAGCCGAGGAGAUUACACCUGCUAUAAUGAACCUCCUAGAAACCAUAUCAGGCGACAGGGAUCUAGAAACUGCUUUGGAAGAAUCACUGCAGGGAAUCAUUGAGUAUCCACAGAGGGCACCCCCGGCUUCAAAGGAAGUUGUCGCCAAUCUUCCUGUCAUUGCUGUUACCGAGGAAGUCAUGUCUAGAUUGGGUAGUGAGACGGAGUGUGCUGUCUGCCGCGAAAACUUGGUUGUGGAUGACAAGAUGCAGGAGCUUCCCUGCAAGCAUCUCUUCCAUCCUCUUUGUCUGAAGCCAUGGCUGGACGAGAACAACUCCUGCCCUAUCUGCCGGCAUGAGCUGAGGACGGAUGACCAUGUGUAUGAGAGCAGGAAGGAGCGUGAAAGGGAAGAGGAAGAAGAUAGAAGGGGUGCGGCAAAUGCUGUUAGGGGUGGAGAAUUCAUUUAUAUCUGAACUCAACAGUUCCAGAAUGUAAUCCCUUUGAUGAACUUCGUGAUUACCAUGUUGACAUAUAUAUAUACCUAGUUACUUAUGCUUGAGUUAAAUAUCUUGCGAUCUUAUUACC